GGGUCGCUAGCUCAAUUGGCUAGAGCAUUCGGCUGGUAGCACGUCCGCCCUCCGCCUCGUGCGGGUAUGGGAGUGCUUCCUUCUCCUGAUGGAUCGAAGGGUUCGGGGUUCGAGUCCCCGGCGGCCCA
rnacentral:tRNA from 1 species